GACGAACGCUGGCGGCGUGCUUAACACAUGCGAGUCGAGCGAGGCCCCUCCUUCGGGAGGGUGUCCUAGCGGCGAACGGGUGAGUAACACGUGGGCAACCUGCCCUCAGCUCUGGGAUAACUCCGGGAAACCGGGGCUAAUACCGGAUACGACCUCCACGGGCAUCUGCGGAGGUGGAAAGUUUUUCGGCUGAGGAUGGGCCCGCGGCCUAUCAGCUAGUUGGUGGGGUAGUGGCCCACCAAGGCGACGACGGGUAGCCGGCCUGAGAGGGCGACCGGCCACACUGGGACUGAGACACGGCCCAGACUCCUACGGGAGGCAGCAGUGGGGAAUAUUGCGCAAUGGGCGAAAGCCUGACGCAGCGACGCCGCGUGAGGGACGAAGGCCUUCGGGUUGUAAACCUCUUUCAGCAGGGACGAAGCGAAAGUGACGGUACCUGCAGAAGAAGCACCGGCCAACUACGUG
rnacentral:rRNA from 1 species